rnacentral:rRNA from 1 species
UACGUAGGCAGCGAGCGUUGUCCGGAUUUACUGGGUGUAAAGGGUGCUCAGGUGGUUUUGUAAGUCAGAGGUGAAAUUUCGGGGCUCAACCCCGGACCUGCCUUUGAUACUGCAAAGCUUGUGUACGGAAGAGGCUGAUGGAAUUUCUGGUGUAGCAGUGAAAUGCGUAGAUAUCAGAAAGAACACCAGUGGCGAAGGCGGUCAGCUGGUCCGGUACAGACACUAAAGCACGAAAGCAUGGGGAGCAAACAGG